UUUCCAAUGUUAAUUAGACAAUGCCAGUUCCCGUCCGAUCACUGCAGUUAAGCGUCUCAGGGUCUCGUUCCUACCGAUGUAUGAUUGUAGACAUCAUGAAAAUCCGGCGGACCGUAGGCU